UACAGAGGUCUCGAGCGUUAGGCGGAAUCACUGGGCUUAAAGCGUGUGUAGGCGAGUCGUUAAGUGCCUUGUGAAAUCCCAUGGCUCAACCAUGGAACUGCUGGGCAUACUGGCGAUCUUGUGCCACCUAGGGGCGAGCGGAACAGAUGGUGGAGCGGUGAAAUGCGUAGAGAUGUGGAGGAACACCGAUGGCGAAGGCAGCCUUCUGGGCCAAUACUGACGCUCAUGCACGAAAGCGUGGGGAGCAAACAGG
rnacentral:rRNA from 1 species